rnacentral:rRNA from 1 species
GGGGGACUCCGAGUGCGAGGGCAUACAGUCCUCGCUUUUCUGUACCGUAAGGUGGUACAGGAACAAGGGCUGGGCAAGACCGGUUCCAGCCGCCGCGGUAAUACCGGCAGCCCGAGUGAUGGCCGAUAUUAUUGGGCCUAAAGCGUCCGUAGCCGUCCGGACAAGUCCGUUGGGAAAUCGACGUGUCUAACGCGUCGGCGUCCAGCGGAAACUGUUCGGCUUGGGACCGGAAGACCCGAGGGGUACGUCCGGGGUAGGAGUGAAAUCCCGUAAUCCUGGACGGACCGCCGGUGGCGAAAGCGCCUCGGGAGGACGGAUCCGACGGUGAGGGACGAAAGCCAGGGUCUCGAACCGGAUUAGAUACCCGGGUAGUCCUGGCCGUAAACGAUGCCCGCUAGGUGUGGCGCAGGCUACGAGCCUGCGCUGUGCCGUAGGGAAGCCGUGAAGCGGGCCGCCUCGGAAGUACGUCCGCAAGGAUGAAACUUAAAGGAAUUGGCGGG